GUAAAAGAUAAAUUUAUUCUAUCUGUUCUUAAUGAGUUUUAGAUAAUUUUAGUUGUAUUUCUUUGUAAUUUUGUGUUGUACAAAGAUUAAUUUAACAUUUUCUCUGGAAGCAUUAAUUUAGAAAGAUAAUAUUAUGCUUCAUUGGUGUUGUGUUUUGAAGUGUGAAAUGCAAAGUAUGUAAUUGUGAUAAAGUCAAGAUAAAGUUCACUUUUAAACUGAACUAAAGAAGGUAUCUGAGAGACAACAAUGGUUAAAUGCAAUACAAUGUACAGGUUUUGCUAGCGAAAUGAAAAUUUUCCUGUCCUGUCUGCUGUAAUCAUUUUAUAUCUGGAAAACCAGCCGACUUAAUCGAUAAUAUCAAUCUCCAGAUUGGGUUCCUUCAAUAAAUAUGGGCUAUAAACACAAUGAAAUAAGUUCCCCAAAAUCUAAAAUGGAGUGGUAUCAAAGGAGAAUUAAAGG
rnacentral:lncRNA from 1 species